AUAUCCAUAUUAUAUCACCCUGCAGACCAAGACCGGUUACUCACUGAAGGUAAGCAGGGCUGAGCCUGGUCAGUACUUGGAUGGGAGACCACAUGGGAAAACAUUUGCUGUUGGAAAUG
ensembl:rRNA 5S_rRNA 5S ribosomal RNA